rnacentral:lncRNA from 1 species
AAUAUCAUGGCCAGGAGCUCCUUGGUGAAAGGCAUAGUGAAGCUCCGACUUGUACCACCAUGGAAGUGGUUCAGGAAGAUGUGGAGGAUUUCUUGGUUGGAAAAGGUUCUUGAGAACCAAUAAUGGAUACAAUUCAGCAUAAGUCAUAGGAAUCGGGUCAAAAGAGACCUUCUUCCUCUCUAAGUUCUGUUGUUGUUGAUGAUUGUUGGUGUUGUUGUUGUAGUUGUUUGUUCUUUGUUGCGGCUGUUGUUGACGUUGUUGUUGAACUGGUCUUGAUUGAUUAGUUGAAAAUACUGGAAUAACAGAUGAUACUUGAUGAUGAUGUUGAUGGGGUUAUGGAUUCCUUCUGACAUGAGGCCUCCUCUGCCUCCCAACGGAUACUGCAUUAGUCUCGCCUUCUUUCUUUUUGGAAAACCCACUGCCGUACUUCUUGCUAGACGAAACCUCCUCUUUAGACAACCGUCCCUCUCAGACACCUUCUUCUAGUCUCAUCCCCAUGUUUACCAUUUCGUUAAAGUGACUGGGGGCACUGGCA